rnacentral:rRNA from 1 species
GACGAACGCUGGCGGCGUGCUUAACACAUGCAAGUCGAACGGAAAGGCCCUGCUUUUGUGGGGUGCUCGAGUGGCGAACGGGUGAGUAACACGUGAGUAACCUGCCCUUGACUUUGGGAUAACUUCAGGAAACUGGGGCUAAUACCGGAUAGGAGCUCCUGCUGCAUGGUGGGGGUUGGAAAGUUUCGGCGGUUGGGGAUGGACUCGCGGCUUAUCAGCUUGUUGGUGGGGUAGUGGCUUACCAAGGCUUUGACGGGUAGCCGGCCUGAGAGGGUGGCCGGCCACAUUGGGACUGAGAUACGGCCCAGACUCCUACGGGAGGCAGCAGUGGGGAAUAUUGCACAAUGGGCGGAAGCCUGAUGCAGCAACGCCGCGUGCGGGAUGACGGCCUUCGGGUUGUAAACCGCUUUCGCCUGUGACGAAGCGUGAGUGACGGUAAUGGGUAUAGAAGCACCGGCUAACUACGUG